rnacentral:rRNA from 1 species
CCUACGGGUGGCAGCAGUGGGGAAUAUUGGGCAAUGGACGCAAGUCUGACCCAGCAACGCCGCGUGAAGGAAGAAGGCUUUCGGGUUGUAAACUUCCUUUAAGGGGGAAGAGCAGAAGACGGUACCUCUUGAAUAAGCUACGGCUAACUACGUGCCAGCAGCCGCGGUAAUACGUAGGUGGCAAGCGUUGUCCGGAUUUACUGGGUGUAAAGGGCGUGCAGCCGGAGAGACAAGUCAGAUGUGAAAUCCACGGGCUCAACCCGUGAACUGCAUUUGAAACUGUUUCCCUUGAGUGUCGGAGAGGUAAUCGGAAUUCCUGGUGUAGCGGUGAAAUGCGUAGAUAUUAGGAAGAACACCAAUGGCGAAGGCAGAUUACUAAACGAUAACUGACGGUGAGGCGCGAAAGCGUGGGGAGCAAACAGGAUUAGAUACCCGAGUAGUC